rnacentral:rRNA from 1 species
AUUGAACGCUGGCGGCAUGCCUUACACAUGCAAGUCGAACGGCAGCACGGGUGCUUGCACCUGGUGGCGAGUGGCGAACGGGUGAGUAAUACAUCGGAACAUGUCCUGUAGUGGGGGAUAGCCCGGCGAAAGCCGGAUUAAUACCGCAUACGAUCUACGGAUGAAAGCGGGGGACCUUCGGGCCUCGCGCUAUAGGGUUGGCCGAUGGCUGAUUAGCUAGUUGGUGGGGUAAAGGCCUACCAAGGCGACGAUCAGUAGCUGGUCUGAGAGGGCGACCAGCCAAACUGGGACUGAGAACCGGCCCAAGACUCCACGGGAGGGAGCAGUUGGGAAUUUUUGACCAUUGGCGAAAGCCUGAACCAGCAAUGCCGCGUUGUGGAAGAAGGGCUUCGGGUUUGUAAGGACUUUUGGUCGGAAAGAAAUCCUUGGCCCUAAUACGGUCGGGGGAUGACGGUACCGGAAGAAUAAGCACCGGCUAACUACGUG